UUGGAGGGCAAGUCUGGUGCCAGCAGCCGCGGUAAUUCCAGCUCCAAUAGCGUAUAUUAAAGUUGUUGCAGUUAAAAAGCUCGUAGUUGAAUUUCGGGAUUGACACAUCGGUCGUGCCUUAAGGGGUAUGAACUGGUGUAGUCAAUUUCUCACCUUCUGGAGAACCGCGAUGCCCUUAAUUGGGUGUCGCGGGGAACCAGGACCUUUACUUUGAAAAAAUUAGAGUGUUUAAAGCAGGCAUUUUGCUUGAAUACAUUAGCAUGGAAUAAUAAAAUAGGACGGCAUGAUUCUAUUUUGUUGAUUUCUAGGAUCACCGUAAUGAUUAAUAGGGAUAGUUGGGGGCAUUAGUAUUCAAUUGUCAGAGGUGAAAUUCUUGGAUUUAUUGAAGACUAACUACUGCGAAAGCAUUUGCCAAGGAUGUUUUCAUUAAUCAAGAACGAAAGUUAGGGGAUCGAAGACGAUCAGAUACCGUCGUAGUCUUAACCAUAAACUAUGCCGACUAGGAAUCAGACGAUGUUAAUUUUUUAAUGACUCGUUUGGCACCUUACGGGAAACCAAAGUGUUUGGGUUC
rnacentral:rRNA from 1 species